GACGAACGCUGGCGGCGUGCUUAACACAUGCAAGUCGAACGGAAAGGCCCUGCUUUUGUGGGGUUCUCGAGUGGCGAACGGGUGAGUAACACGUGAGUAACCUGCCCUUGUCUUUGGGAUAACUUCAGGAAACUGGGGCUAAUACCGGAUAGGAGCUCCUGCUGCAUGGUGGGGGUUGGAAAGUUUCGGCUGUUGGGGAUGGACUCGCGGCUUAUCAGCUUGUUGGUGGGGUAGUGGCUUACCAAGGCUUGGACGGGUACCCGGCCUGAGAGGGUGACCGGCCACAUUGGGACUGAGAUACGGCCCAGACUCCUACGGGAGGCAGCAGUGGGGAAUAUUGCACAAUGGGCGGAAGCCUGAUGCAGCAACGCCGCGUGCGGGAUGACGGCCUUCGGGUUGUAAACCGCUUUCGCCUGUGACGAAGCGUGAGUGACGGUAAUGGGUAAAGAAGCACCGGCUAACUACGUG
rnacentral:rRNA from 1 species